CUGCCAUGCAUCAGCUCAUCACCUCUCCUGCAUAUGCUCUUCUUCCACUUGUUGCCAGUUCCGUCUGCUUUGCUCCAGUACCUGUCUUCUUGGCUUUGCCCCUCUGCCCUGGAUCCCUGCUCAGCUCAAGCAUAGAUUCCAUCGUGGACAUUUGGUUCAGCUCAUCCCUGGUUUUCCUCCUGCCCUGCUCACCAGCUCAGUCAUCCACGCUCCCAGGCUUCCUCUCUGCUCAGCUCAUUUCUGGCUCAUAUCCAUUCCCUCCCAAGCUCCCAAAUAAAGAAGCUUCUUUGUUUCUAA